GUGCGCGCAGGGAGGAGCGUAAAAGUUGACAGCCUUGAGCAUGUGACACCUUCUGCCAUGAGAUGAUGCUACAAGAAGAACCUCACCGACUGCUGGCACCUUGAUACUGGACUUCACAGCCUCCAGAAUUGUGAGCCAGGAAAAAUGUAUGACUCUAAAUUUGGAAACCAGACAGGAUCUGCUAAUACGGGGCAGAAUGUUAAAAAGAGGAUGAAUUUUGAUUUCAGAAAAUUUAGAAGAAAAUGGAUUUCUCAGGCAACUGAAAGAACAUAUUUGGAUCUGUUAAGAUGAAAGGAGACUUCAAGAGAACUGGACUUUGUGUUGGACAGGCUGUCUGUGACAGGGAAAAAACCCCUUCUGAAUGAUUAGGGAUGAAUCAGUUAACUUGCUUGAGUUUCACAUUCUUCAUCUGUAAAAUCUGGUGAUUAGACUGGCCCAGCAAAAGAUAUAAUGGGCAAAAGAUAUAAUACACAUAAAUUGGAAUGAAUCUGCAUUUUCCAAGCCUGAUGACUUUAUUAAAACUGAAUUAAGUCACUAACUGGCAGCCUGAAGAUGAAAGGAAAGAACUCAGUCAUGCUUCUUAAGGUAAAAGGGCAGUCUAACUGAGAAUUUUGUUAUCUCUGAGGACAAAUUACAAGGAGAUAAAGACACUCAAGAUCACAUGGAAGGCUUCUGCUCCCACUUAGAGACUGCAAUGUAAGCGACGGAGACAAAGAAGAUUUUCCUGAGCAGUGUCAGUAACAAAGAAAUGAAGCAAAUUAUUAAGAAACUGAUGGGCAUUCAUUGAAGAGCAACAAAUAUGAUUCAUAAGUCUGAAGGGACAGCCUUCAGAGAGAAGAUGAAAGAGACAAGUCUCUCAGCAUGACCAUGUGGCUCUAACGGGACUGGCUCAUGGGCAACAAGUACUUGAAGGGUGUAAAUAGUGGGGACAGAGAGAAAUUAUUUAGUGUGCAAGGGGACAGCAGGAGGAGUGAUGGUAAAUGAAAGUCAAAACAAAGAUGAUUUAGGCAGCUGAACGAGUCACAGGCCCUAAUGGAGAGAUCUAUUAUAGGCUGUACAGCCUUGGGAAGGGUGGAAACCCCAUCACUUGUGCCAUUUACAGUUGGAAAAGCCAUUAAAAAGUAGAUCAGCCUGUUGGAGAGGGAAAAAACACCGCAGGUCCUCAGAGAAUCAGUGG
rnacentral:lncRNA from 1 species